GAAAAAUAUAUUCAUUUCGGUGAAAUCUAAGUGUUGAGUUUGCGCUUCACAAAACUAGAUUUUAUCCCUCAAGGAUUUUUCCAAGUUCCACCUCUUGGAAAAAUAUAUUCAUUUCGGUGAAAUCUAAGUGUUGAGCUCGCUCUUCACAAGACUAGAUUUCAUCCGUCAAGGAUUUUUCCAAGUUGCAUUUCUUGAAAAAAUAUAUUCAUUUCAGUGAAAUCUAAGUGUUGAGUUCGUGCUUCACAAGACUAGAUUUCAUCCCUCAAGGAUUUUUCCAAGUUGCAUUUCUUGGAAAAAUAUAUUCAUUUAAGUAAAAUAUUAAGUGUUGAGUUCGCACUUCACAAGACUAGAAUUCAUCCCUCUAGGAUUUUUCCAAGUUCCACCUCUUGGAAAAAUAUAUUCAUUUCGGUGAAAUCUAAGUGUUGAGUUCGCUCUUCACAAGACUAGAUUUCAUCCCUCAAGGACUUUUCCAAGUUCCGCCUUUUGGAAAAAUAUAUUCAUUUCGGUGAAAUCUAAGUGUUGAGCUCGCUCUUCACAAGACUAGAUUUCAUCCUUCAAGGAUUUUUCCAAGUUACACCUUUUAAAAAAAUAUAUUCAUUUCGGUGAAAUGGAAGUGUUGAGUUUGCUCUUCACAAGACUAGAUUUCAUCC
rnacentral:sRNA from 1 species